rnacentral:rRNA from 1 species
AUUAGAGGUUUGAUCAUGGCUCAGAUUGAACGCUGCCGGCAGGCCUAACACAUGCAAGUCGAGCGGUAGAGAGAAGCUUGCUUCUCUUGAGAGCGGCGGACGGGUGAGUAAUGCCUAGGAAUCUGCCUGGUAGUGGGGGAUAACGUUCGGAAACGGACGCUAAUACCGCAUACGUCCUACGGGAGAAAGCAGGGGACCUUCGGGCCUUGCGCUAUCAGUGACCUAGGUCGGAUUAGCUAGUUGGUGAGGUAAUGGCUCACCAAGGCGACGAUCCGUAACUGGUCUGAGAGGAUGAUCAGUCACACUGGAACUGAGACACGGUCCAGACUCCUACGGGAGGCAGCAGUGGGGAAUAUUGGACAAUGGGCGAAAGCCUGAUCCAGCCAUCACGCGUGUGUGAAGAAGGUCUUCGGAUUGUAAAGCACUUUAAGUUGGGAGGAAGGGCAGUUACCUAAUACGUGA